AAUACGGAGGGGGCGAGCGUUAUUCGGAAUUAUUGGGCGUAAAGGGCGCGUAGGCGGCUUGAUAAGUCAAAGGUGAAAUCCCUCGGCUCAACUGAGGAACUGCCUUUGAAACUGUCGGGCUUGAGGCCGGGAGGGGGUAGCGGAAUUCCCAGUGUAGCGGUGAAAUGCGUAGAUAUUGGGAGGAACACCGGUGGCGAAGGCGGCUACCUGGACCGGUUCUGACGCUGAGGCGCGAAAGCGUGGGUAGCAAACA
rnacentral:rRNA from 1 species